AUCUGAGGUGAAUGAGAAAAGCAAUUAAUAUUUAGAACUCACCAGAUACUUUCAGGAGCAGAAGUUAAUCUUUUAACUUGAUCUAAGUAUGCUGCUUUACAUCUCUCACGGGUACUGCAGCAGAAGCGUUACAGCAAAAGCAGCAAUAGCUAGGGAAAAGUUCUUAAUUCAUCGGUGAACUUAGGCAGCUUAAAGUGCAGCUGACAAAGCAAAUCAAGCAUAGAGACCGAUGCCCCAACAAACCAGCUCCAGUUCAACCUCCAGUCCUCCAGACUGGAGCCUUCAGCUUGACAGACAUCCUGGGAAGGGAGGGCCAUACACUACAAACACACAGUAUGUCGCUGCAAGAGGCAUCACCUGAGCUGCCUUUGAUACACUGAAAUGUAUAAUACCCGACUGAUCUAAUCUGCUGCUUCUCUUACCUGAUUUAAAAAUACAAGUUUCAAGUACAAUUAAACUAUUUCUAGCAGCAGCUAAAUGUGUUUUUUCCUUUUUUUUCUUU